GUUUAUCUUGUAAUUACUCUUUUCUGCUAGGUUUAUUAGUUUCAUUUCCUUCUCUUGCCCUAGGAUUUCAGGCGGCGUACCAGUUCCUGACUUCCAACUCCGCUCUCUAGUCUCCAUUGUCCACUCUUCAGAUCUCCUUCGAUCGUCUCUUCAGCUGCUUCCCCUUGGAAACUCCAGAGUCUAGACUCGCCGUUCUCCUUCAGCUACUCCACUCCUGAUUCGGUAAUUCCUCCAUUGUCGUUCCCUUUGGAUUUUUGGAAGGUCCAGUCACCGUUCUCCUUCGUUCGAAGCUCCAGACUCGCCGUUCUCCUCGGUUCCCUUGUGCGAUCGCUUCUACAACUCCAUCUACUUUGAUCUCGCGUUUUCAUCUCCAGUCGCUCGUGCUCGUCCUUCAGAUGCGAAGAAUAUGAGCUUGAUCAUAGUAAUCAGUAUUUUUACUCACAUUCUAAACAUUAAAAUCCCAUCAUGGAUCCUGGAGCUCACCAACGCCAGAGCAUGCAUUUAGACUCAAAAAAAUGGAGCUCACCAGCACCAAACCAUGCAUUUAGACUCAAAUGGCAGGGGCAGAAGUACUUACAAAUAGCCUACUAUUUCAUAUUGACAGUGGGGUUCAAAUCUGCAGCCUAAUAGAUUAUGGGUCAUUGGACUUGGAGGCAUGUCCUAGUCCUGGCUUGGUUAUGCGUUUAAGUCACCAAAUUAUACAUGAAGGUGCUGAAGAAGAAGUUAUUCAUGAAUCAGAUAUAUUUACUCACAUUCUAAGCAUUAGAACCAUCUCAUAAGUCAAUAGCUGACGGAAUUAGAUAUAAUGGUCUCGCCGACAAUGAUAUUCCGGGAGGCCUCCAUAACCCGUUAAACAAGUAGAGGCUAAGGGGGUGAGGUGUGCCAUCUUCAUCUCAUCUGAGGACAAGGGAGCCUCGAUUAAUCACAGAAGAGAAUAUAAUGAGCUAAGGCACCAGAAAUUAAUAUGAUCUUAUUGCCAAGUAAUAUCAUCUUAUGUUUAUUUUUCACCUCUUAUCUUCUGUAAUUGUAUAAUCAAAACAUAUAGAUGUUUUUAAUCUUGAUUUUUCA